UGGAUAACUAGGUGCAAGCAGGCGCGGUAAUAUGUAGGGGGCGAGCGUUAAGCGGAAUUACUGGGCGUAAAGCGUGCGCAGGCGGUUGUGUAAGACAGAGUGGAAAUCCCCGGGCUCAACCUGGGAACUGCCUUUGUGACUGCAAGGCUGGAGUACGGCAGAGGGGGAUGGAAUUCCGCGUGUAGCAGUGAAAGGCGUAGAUAUGCGGAGGAACACCGAUGGCGAAGGCAAUCCCCUGGGCCUGUACUGACGCUCAUGCACGAAAGCGUGGGGAGCAAACAGGAUUAGAUACCCCGGUAUC
rnacentral:rRNA from 1 species